CACCCGUUCCCAUCCCGAACACGGCAGUUAAGCCUGUUGGAGCCGAUGAUACUGCAGCUUUCAGUUGUGGGAAAGUAGGAAGUCGCCGGAU
rnacentral:rRNA from 1 species